GUGACCACAAUGUUCCCUCUCUGUGCUUUGAUUGGUCGUUUAUCAAUAGAGGAAACAAAGAAAGAACAAAGAAAAUAAUAAAUUCUAAGCCUUUACAGUCACGUUCGCAGAAAAGAAGUAGAACUCAUUUUUACUCUCUCUUCACUGUUCUUCAACAAGACUGUGUCCAUCAGCCUGGGUGUAAUUUAAGAGUAACCAUGGCGACAGAACCUCAAUUAAAGCUGUUCAGACACAACUGCUGACAAGGUCACACAUUAUGACAACAAUGAGGACGUCAACUAGCUAGGUGGGUGAAUCGAAACUUGCUUUGAGUAGAUAUUGAUAGUGGGAAGCUAGCGCUUCAGCGUGGCCACAGAGCCCGGGCAUACACGACUACUGCUUUGCCUAUUUUCUCUGGUCAUCUGCUAAACGCAACAUGUGCUACAAAGAAAUCUCUGUCAUUCAUGGGAACAGGAAAAGACACAUCUGUCAUAGACAAUGAAAUCUUAACAACUUG